ACAUUUUCUUUAGUUUUUGUUAAAGAUAGUCUCUGCCCUAUGAUAAAUUAAAUGGCUGCAGUAUUCUAACUGUACUAAGGUAGCAUAAUAAUUAGUCUUUUAAUUGAAGUCUGGAAUGAAUGAGUUUAUGAAGAAUUUAUUUUAUUUAUAUUAUUUUUUGAAUUUUAUUUUUGUGUUAAAAAGCACAAUUUUUUAUUAGGGACGAUAAGACCCUUUAGAACUUUAAUUAAUAUUAAUUAUUGGUUUUAGAAAGUUUUUGUUAAUGUUAAUUUUGGUUGGGGUGAUAAAUAAAUUAAUGUUACUUUAUUUUUAAAACUCAUUGAUUUAUGUAAUUUUGAUUUAUUUAUAAUUAUAAGAUUUAGUUACCUAAGGGAUAACAGCGUAAUUUUAAUGGGGAGUUCAUAUUUAUAUUAAAGUUUGCGACCUCGAUGUUGAAUUAAAAUAAAGUUAAGGGGUAGAUUCUUUAUAUUUAAGUCUGUUCGACUUUUAAAUUUUUACAUGAUUUG
rnacentral:rRNA from 1 species